AGUGAACGCUGGCGGUAGGCCUAACACAUGCAAGUCGAACGGCAGCACAGUAAGAGCUUGCUCUUACGGGUGGUGAGUGGCGGACGGGUGAGGAAUACAUCGGAAUCUACUUUUUCGUGGGGGAUAACGUAGGGAAACUUACGCUAAUACCGCAUACGACCUACGGGUGAAAGCAGGGGAUCUUCGGACCUUGCGCGAUUGAAUGAGCCGAUGUCGGAUUAGCUAGUUGGCGGGGUAAAGGCCCACCAAGGCGACGAUCCGUAGCUGGUCUGAGAGGAUGAUCAGCCACACUGGAACUGAGACACGGUCCAGACUCCUACGGGAGGCAGCAGUGGGGAAUAUUGGACAAUGGGCGCAAGCCUGAUCCGGCCAUACCGCGUGGGUGAAGAAGGCCUUCGGGUUGUAAAGCCCUUUUGUUGGGAAAGAAAAGCAGCAGGUUAAUACCCCGCUGUUCUGACGGUACCCAAAGAAUAAGCACCGGCUAACUUCGUG
rnacentral:rRNA from 1 species